UCUGUCGUGCUGGGGAUAGAGCAUUGCAAUUAUUGCUCUUCAACGAGGAAUCCCUAGUAAGCGCAAGUCAUCAGCUUGCGUUGAUUACGUCCCUGCCCUUUGUACACACCGCCCGUCGCUACUACCGAUUGAAUGGCUCAGUGAGGCUUUCGGACUGAUCUAAGGGAGGAGGCAACUCUUCCCCCUGGUCGGAAAGUUAUCCAAACUCGGUCAUUUAGAGGAAGUAAAAGUCGUAACAAGGUCUCCGUUGGUGAACCAGCGGAGGGAUCAUUACUGAGUUUACGCUCUACAACCCUUUGUGAACAUACCUACAACUGUUGCUUCGGCGGGUAGGGUCUCCGCGACCCUCCCGGCCUCCCGCCUCCGGGCGGGUCGGCGCCCGCCGGAGGAUAACCAAACUCUGAUUUAACGACGUUUCUUCUGAGUGGUACAAGCAAAUAAUCAAAACUUUUAACAACGGAUCUCUUGGUUCUGGCAUCGAUGAAGAACGCAGCGAAAUGCGAUAAGUAAUGUGAAUUGCAGAAUUCAGUGAAUCAUCGAAUCUUUGAACGCACAUUGCGCCCGCCAGCAUUCUGGCGGGCAUGCCUGUUCGAGCGUCAUUUCAACCCUCAAGCUCUGCUUGGUGUUGGGGCCCUACAGCCGAUGUAGGCCCUCAAAGGUAGUGGCGGACCCUCCCGGAGCCUCCUUUGCGUAGUAACUUUACGUCUCGCACUGGGAUCCGGAGGGACUCUUGCCGUAAAACCCCCCAAUUUCCAAAGGUGACCUCUGAUCAGGUAGAAU
rnacentral:rRNA from 1 species